GACGAACGCUGGCGGCGUGCUUAACACAUGCAAGUCGAACGGAAAGGCCCUGCUUUUGUGGGGUGCUCGAGUGGCGAACGGGUGAGUAACACGUGAGUAACCUGCCCUUGACUUUGGGAUAACUUCAGGAAACUGGGGCUAAUACCGGAUAGGAGCUCCUGCUGCAUGUUGGGGGUUGGAAAGUUUCGGCGGUUGGGGAUGGACUCGCGGCUUAUCAGCUUGUUGGUGGGGUAGUGGCUUACCAAGGCUUUGACGGGUAGCCGGCCUGAGAGGGUGUCCGGCCACAUUGGGACUGAGAUACGGCCCAGACUCCUACGGGAGGCAGCAGUGGGGAAUAUUGCACAAUGGGCGGAAGCCUGAUGCAGCAACGCCGCGUGCGGGAUGACGGCCUUCGGGUUGUAAACCGCUUUCGCCUGUGACGAAGCGUGAGUGACGGUAAUGGGUAAAGAAGCACCGGCUAACUACGUG
rnacentral:rRNA from 1 species